AAAAAAUAAUAAUAAUAAUAAAAGGAAGAUCACAAGGGACCACCCAAAAAAAAAAGGGGGAUGAAUUAGGCCAACACAGGUACUAAGGCCCAGUCUGCCAAAUCAGUUGGUCCCAAUUCAACAUGCACAGCCACCUCUUUGCUCGCUCUCGGAGACGGCCUCGGGGAUGCCUUGGAAGUAUAUGUCUUGUUCAUGCUCAUUGGCUAGAGCAGUUUUCGCAAUACACAGGAAUGCAGGAUCAACAUUAUAAUCCUCUUUUGCUGAUGUCUCAAAGUAAGGUAUGUUUCCUUUCGAAGCACACCACUCCUUUGCUUUCUUCUCAGAAACCACUCGACUGUUUCCCCCAUCAAUGUCAAUCUUGUUUCCAAGCAAUAUAAAUGGAAACGUCUUGGGAUCAGGUGGGUUUGCCUGGAAGCAACAGGAAUAAAACAACGCUAAGAUUAUUCAACAAAAAGGGGGCAUUGUCUGCAACUACUAGAGCUACUGUCUGACACAACAGGAUGAAUAGUCAGAAUAAAGCAUAAGAUGCAUUGUUAAAUAGAGGAAGAAAUCAAUAUAAGGAGCAAUAAAAAAGAUUAUAACACACCGAGUUAAUGAUUCAAGCUAGAAUUAAAAUAAUCUUGGACAUAAUGUGGUCAGGGUGUUAAGUUUGUGGCUCAUAUUUUCAAAGAAAAUACUACACACUAAAAGCUCCAAGCAAUCAGGGGAAGUGGGGCGGUUUUGAAGAGAGGCUGUGGAAUUGUUGGGAUAUUUUGUAAUUAUAAGUUUCUCCUAUUCAGCAAGUAAAAAGAAAAUUCUAGCAAUUCUAUAAAUAGGUGCUUGUAAUUUUAUCCUUCAAAGUGAAAGACACGUGUCUCUCCAUGGAUGUGGCCACAUCACUAAACCAUGCAAAAUUCCUUCUAUAGUGUCUCUCCUUUUCCGUAAUCAUUAUCGUAUUUUUUGUGCAUGUUUUGAGGGGCCAAUUGCAAGUGCCUAACCUCAGAUAUGCAUACUAAGUAACUUAAAUAUAUACAUUCAAAAAAAAGUUAACUAAAAUAUAUAAGUGGUUGCAAAAAGCCCCAGUUGCAAAACCUAACAAUUCCUAGGACUAAGUGAAGAUGUGACUAGUCUCUAGCUCUAACUAACAAAACCAAAAGCAUAAAGUCAUAAACUGAGUUUUCUUCACUUCUCAAGCCAAAUUUUUAGAUUUCCUGAAAUCAAAUCAAAUUCAACCAAAUUAAUUGAUCAAAAUCAAAUUGAACCAAGUUAAUUCAUCAGUUUGCUUUACAAUAUAAAAAUUAUGCAUGUAUCUCCAUCAAAAAGUAACCACUUCUUAAAAUGCAAUGCCCUCUAUAAAGACUAGCAAGAUACCAAGAAAUGACACUGAAACAAGCUCAUAGGAUGUCAAUUCCAACAAGACUAAGGCACCAUCAGAAUUGAUAAAUAAAAAAAUAAGUUAGAAAUUAAGAAGGAAUAGAACAAACAAGAAGCCUUAUCUAGUUAAAUCUCUUAAUAUAAUUAUGUCCAAGGAAGUCAACAAUAGGGUGGAAAUUAAAUUCUCUAACAACUCAACCUGAUAGCUAACCAGCUAGCAGAAUAGUUAGCUGGAUGUAUACGAGAUCUAUGACUGAAACCGAACUCCACUUAAGUAAUGAGUAAAUAAUAAUAAAGGCACAAAAAGCCUCCAUUAUCUAGAACUAUCAUCAGCAACAAAAGCUAAAAAUUAUUAACAAGCAUUACAUUCGAAACUAAUAUUAAGCUUCAUCGUGUCACUGUUACUUAAGUGAAUUUUUUUGCUAUACAUCAUGGUUUUGACUUGUGAGGCAUCAUGGAAA
rnacentral:misc_RNA from 1 species